AUUUCUACUUUCAAAGUUGUCAAAUGAAUAUUGGCAAGAAAUUAGAGUUGUUCAGGCAAUGCAUGAAGUGGUGCUGGCAAAUAAAAUGAAAUACUCCUUGAAUGAAGGUAGUACAGAUGGUGAUGGUGAUGCUAGCAUAGAGGGUGACACCAAAGUCAUCUCAGAGUCUGCGUUCCCUUCUUCACUAGAGGAUGAUGAGUACGAUAUACUGCAACUCAAGCUAACAUUCAUUUUAAGACUUAGAUUACUAUGUUGGUGUCAAAGAGGGACAUGGUGUCUAAUACUUCAAUUUGGCCAUACCUGGCAUGGAGUCAUGUCUACACGUGCGUUGUUAUAAAUCUUGGGUAGCUAGUGGCAAAUAGCUAAUUUCAAGUAACAUGGAUUUUUGGUGUCUGUCAUUUUCUUUUUCCUUUUUUAAUGAAAAAUGACAGUGAUUCUUAUCAAGCCACAAGCUGCUACAACCGCCCAUUCUCAGGUUUCAUUCAAGUAAACAGUGAAAUAGCAAUGGAGGUUUUUGGGUUGUCUUUUACUUAUAUGCUUGUAUGCUUGUCUUUUGCUCUUUCGUUGUCCUGUAUAUUACUUUUGUCUGCCCUUGAGGGCAUAUCACAUUAUUUGUUUCCCAUGUUUGAACACACACACACACACACAUGACAAAUCACAAUAUGCCCUCCAGGUUAGGCAAAUAAUGCACAUUGGAAGAUAAAAACAAAGGAAUUGGAGUCACAUGUGUGUUCUUUUUUUAAUGCCUCUGUUUUUCUCUUUCACAUCCCAAAAGAAUUACUUUCAUACUUCCUAUUUCUUGGGUUAGGUUAGAGGACUACUGGAAAGCCAGUCUCCUCUCCCUUGGAAGUACCUACUUUCAUGCCUCCUAUUUCUUGCAUUUGUUGCACACAAUCACAUAAAUGCUACCACAAAUAUUUAAAAAUGGCAUGUUUUAUGCAUAGUUUUGCGGACCCAUUGAUGAUGGCUCCUUGAAGAACUCAUUAUCAAGUCAUUUUGUCUGGUUAUGGAUGUUCUCAUGGAUACCAAUCUUUGCAUUUCUGUUCAACAGGAUGAUGAUUUAGAUGAAUCGAUUUACACUCCAGUUGAACUAGCUUUGAUUUUUUCGCACACCAAAAAAUAUCCAGAUGAACCACCACAUCUGAAUGUGAAAAGUUUACGAGGAAUAAAACCAGAAGAUCUUAAAAUUUUAAAAGAAAAGCUUCAGUAGGAGGACGUAGCUACCUUGGAGCAGCAACCAAGCUGCACAUUGUCCCUAGAAAUAUCCCUUUCAAAGCAAAAUGUAUAUUCUGUAAAAUCAAGAUGGCGGUUUGCUCUUCGAUGAUUUAGUAGUUUAUAUGUGGCAAAGUAUUGCUGCUAACAGUAAAACUAGGCAGAAAUUCGUCAAUUGUAAGAUCUCAUACCCCUUUUUUAUACUUCUUUUUUAAAGUAAAUCACAUCAUUGAGUGGGCCCUUCCUUUCAUUGACUUGUAUGAGAAUGAACUCAUUCUUACUAGGCCAUUGAAAGUCAUAGGAUAUGCUAUCUAAAUCCCAGAAAAUUGUUGAAAUGUAAUUAAUAUAUUUUUAUUAUUUUGUCUUGCAGGUUGCAAGCAGAGACAGAUGAUGGCUAGAUGGAGGGAUUUCUUUUAUAUGUAUUCAGAACAUUUUCAACAUAUUAUUGUAAAUAUUAUACGAUUUUCAUUGUAAAGUAAUACAAUUUAUUUAGUAUUCAUUUUUAA